UGGAUUAGCAAACGUGGAUAU
rnacentral:misc_RNA from 1 species